rnacentral:rRNA from 1 species
UACGAAGGGUGCAAGCGUUAUUCGGAAUGAUUGGGCGUACAGGGUGCGCAGGCGGUAUAUUAAGUCAACUGUCAAAGACCUCAGCCUAACUGGGGGCCGGCGGUAGAUACUGGUAUACUAGAGGAUGGAAGAGAGAAGUGGAAUUCUUGGAGUAGUGGUAAAAUGCGUAGAUCUCAAGAGGAACACCGAUGGCGAAGGCAGCUUCUUGGUCCAUAUCUGACGCUCUUGCACGAAAGCGUGGGGAGCAAACAGG